GUCUUAUCCUGUCCUAUAGGAACUAAAGAUGUAGUCUUAUCCUGUCCUAUAGGAACUAAAGAUGUAGUCUUAUCCUGUCCUAUAGGAACUAAAGAUGUAGUCUUAUCCUGUCCUAUAGGAACUAAAGAUGUAGUCUUAUCCUGUCCUAUAGGAACUAAAGAUGUAGUAUUAUCCUGUCCUAUAGGAACUAAAGAUGUAGUCUUAUCCUGUCCUAUAGGAACUAAAGAUGUAGUCUUAUCCUGUCCUAUAGUUACUAAAGAUGUAGUCUUAUCCUGUCCUAUAGGAACUAAAGAUGUAGUCUUAUCCUGUCCUAUAGGUACUGAGGAUGUAGUCUUAUCCUGUCCUGUAGGUACUAAAGAUGCAGUCUUAUUCUGUCCUAUAGGUACUGAGGAUGUGGUCCUAAACCUCUGUCCUGCAACAGGCCCAGUAAUACUUAACAGAGGUCUUGGUACAUGACCUAGGUGAUCACAGGUCCAAGACCAUUACUCAACACUGUUGUACCCCGUGACAGAAGGACAGAGCAGUGUUGACUCAGUUUAACCUGUGUAAGAGAAACAUCUGUGAAACAGUGUCCUGUUCAGAGCUGUAGAUGGCAUGUUUAGCCCUGUUAAUGAGCAGGUCAUUCAUUUCACAUUUAUAAAAGAGGAGAGGAGAUGGAUGGAGCAAUUUACAGGUCUAUUAGUUGUGGAGGGCUGGAGGGAUGGAGGGAUGGAGGGAUGGGGGAAUGGAGGGAUGGAGGGAUGGAGGGCUGGAGGGAUGGAGGGCUGGAAGCCUGGAGGGAUGAAGGGAUGGGGGAAUGGAGGGAUGGAGGGAUGGAGGGC
rnacentral:lncRNA from 1 species